CCUACGGGAGGCAGCAGUAGGGAAUCUUCCGCAAUGGACGAAAGUCUGACGGAGCAACGCCGCGUGAGUGAUGAAGGCUUUCGGGUCGUAAAACUCUGUUGUUAGGGAAGAACAAGUGCUAGUUGAAUAAGCUGGCACCUUGACGGUACCUAACCAGAAAGCCACGGCUAACUACGUGCCAGCAGCCGCGGUAAUACGUAGGUGGCAAGCGUUAUCCGGAAUUAUUGGGCGUAAAGCGCACGUAGGCGGAUUGGAAAGUUGGGGGUGAAAUCCCGGGGCUCAACCCCGGAACUGCCUCCAAAACUCCCAGUCUUGAGUUCGAGAGAGGUGAGUGGAAUUCCGAGUGUAGAGGUGAAAUUCGUAGAUAUUCGGAGGAACACCAGUGGCGAAGGCGGCUCACUGGCUCGAUACUGACGCUGAGGUGCGAAAGUGUGGGGAGCAAACAGGAUUAGAUACCCUGGUAGUCCACACCGUAAACGAUGAAUGCCAGUCGUCGGCAAGCAUGCUUGUCGGUGACACACCUAACGGAUUAAGCAUUCCGCCUGGGGAGUACGGUCGCAAGAUUAAAACUCAAAGGAAUU
rnacentral:rRNA from 1 species